AGGACAUGCGGUACGACAUUGUCUCAGAUCGAGCGAGACGACUGCGAACUAGUAAACCCGCCCG
rnacentral:rRNA from 1 species